AGUCUGACGGAGCACGCCGCGUGAGUGAUGAAGGUUUUCGGAUCGUAAAACUCUGUUGUUAGGGAAGAACAAGUACCGUUCGAACAGGGCGGUACCUUGACGGUACCUAACCAGAAAGCCACGGCUAACUACGUGCCAGCAGCCGCGGUAAUACGUAGGUGGCAAGCGUUGUCCGGAAUUAUUGGGCGUAAAGCGCGCGCAGGCGGUUUCUUAAGUCUGAUGUGAAAGCCCCCGGCUCAACCGGGGAGGGUCAUUGGAAACUGGGGAACUUGAGUGCAGAAGAGGAGAGUGGAAUUCCACGUGUAGCGGUGAAAUGCGUAGAGAUGUGGAGGAACACCAGUGGCGAAGGCGACUCUCUGGUCUGUAACUGACGCUGAGGCGCGAAAGCGUGGGGAGCGAACAGGAUUAGAUACCCUGGUAGUCCACGCCGUAAACGAUGAGUGCUAAGUGUUAGAGGGUUUCCGCCCUUUAGUGCUGCAGCAAACGCAUUAAGCACUCCGCCUGGGGAGUACGGUCGCAAGACUGAAACUC
rnacentral:rRNA from 1 species